AGUCGAACGGAUUCAGAUAUUCGUAUUUGGAUUAGUGGCGGACGGGUGAGUACGCGUGAGCAACCUGCCUUACAGAGGGGGAUAACAUCUGGAAACAGAUGCUAAUACCGCAUAACGUAUAAUGAUGACAUCAUUGAUAUACCAAAGGAGCAAUCCGCUGUAAGAUGGGCUCGCGUCCGAUCAGAUAGUUGGUGAGGUAAUGGCUCACCAAGUCGGCGAUCGGUAGCCGGACUGAGAGGUUGAACGGCCACAUUGGGACUGAGACACGGCCCAGACUCCUACGGGAGGCAGCAGUGGGGGAUAUUGCACAAUGGGCGAAAGCCUGAUGCAGCAACGCCGCGUGAGGGAAGACGGUCUUCGGAUUGUAAACCUUUAACUUUGGAGAAGAAAGAAAUGACGGUAUCCAAAGGGGCAGCCACGGCUAACUACGUGCCAGCAGCCGCGGUAAUACGUAGGUGGCGAGCGUUGUCC
rnacentral:rRNA from 1 species